rnacentral:lncRNA from 1 species
CUAAAUUUCUUAAAUCUGUGUAGAAAUUGGUAACAUGGGAAAAGUAUCUUGAACAUUGCUGACACAGGCCUUCAGCACUCAAUAAAUGUUAAUUGACUCUAAAUGUCAUAGUUCUCCCUUUUACAUUUUUUUCUGUUUUUUCUUGGUUUCAUUUUGUAUUUUAAGGCAUCAAGGCUUUUAUAAGAGUGGUAUAUCAUAGAUUUCCCCCCCC